ACUGUUCAUAACGGUAGGUUAUUUAAGUUGUUCACAUUCAGAUACAGCCAUUUGACCCUAACGCGCUGAGCUGAGACAAUAUAAAUUGAUACGCGCUGAGCGUCAAUAUAAAUUAAUACAAUUUAAUACUACGGAAGACACAUAUAUGAACAUGAUACACCAUGAAUAAUAUAACCACAAUAUUUUGCUCAAAAUUAACUAGUAUUAUUAAUUAUAGUAUAUAAAAUGAUUGUGUGAAAACAAAGUGUAAUCGCAAAGGUAAUAUGUAUCGGGGAAAGCAACAUUUUAAGAAUUGUAAAUAUUUUAUGCUUAUAAAUAAAUACACUACAUUACAUUGUUGCAUCACUCAAACUAAA